GGCGAGGGGAGUGAAAAAGAACCUGAAACCGUGUACGUACAAGCAGUGGGAGCCCCACCACUAAGCCAGUGGUGAACUCCACAUACGCAUCCUUUGCUGAGGAUACGGUUAACGGAGCGAAAGCGACGUUCAACCGCAAAAGAAGCAGAGGGGGCUUAGUGGUGGGGUGACUGCGUACCUUUUGUAUAAUGGGUCAGCGACUUAUAUUCUGUAGCAAGGUUAACCGAAUAGGGGAGCCGGAGGGAAACCGAGUCUUAACCGGGCGUUAAGUUGCAGGGUAUAGACCCGAAACCCGGUGAUCUAGCCAUGGGCAGGUUGAAGGUUGGGUAACACUAACUGGAGGACCGAACCGACUAAUGUUGAAAAAUUAGCGGAUGACCUGUGGCUGGGGGUGAAAGGCCAAUCAAACCGGGAGAUAGCUGGUUCUCCCCGAAAGCUAUUUAGGUAGCGCCUCGUGAAUUCAUCUCCGGGGGUAGAGCACUGUUUCGGCUAGGGGGCCAUCCCGGCUUACCAACCCGAUGCAAACUGCGAAUACCGGAGAAUGUUAUCACGGGAGACACACGGCGGGUGCUAACGUCCGUCGUGAAGAGGGAAACAACCCAGACCGCCAGCUAAGGUCCCAAAGUCAUGGUUAAGUGGGAAACGAUGUGGGAAGGCCCAGACAGCCAGGAUGUUGGCUUAGAAGCAGCCAUCAUUUAAAGAAAGCGUAAUAGCUCACUGGUCGAGUCGGCCUGCGCGGAAGAUGUAACGGGGCUAAACCAUGCACCGAAGCUGCGGCAGCGACGCUUAUGCGU
rnacentral:rRNA from 1 species